GCGGCAACAGCUCAAAUUUGAAAUCUGGCCUCACGGUCCGAGUUGUAAUUUGUAGAGGAUGCUUCUGGCGACGUGCCUUCCGAGUUCCCUGGAACGGGACGCCAUAGAGGGUGAGAGCCCCGUCCGGUCGUGCACCUAGCCUCUGUGAAGCUCCUUCGACGAGUCGAGUAGUUUGGGAAUGCUGCUCUAAAUGGGAGGUAUACGUCUUCUAAAGCUAAAUACCGGCCAGAGACCGAUAGCGCACAAGUAGAGUGAUCGAAAGAUGAAAAGCACUUUGAAAAGAGGGUUAAAUAGUACGUGAAAUUGCUGAAAGGGAAGCGCUUAUGACCAGACUUGGGCUCGGUGAAUCAUCCGGCGUUCUCGCCGGUGCACUUUGCCGUCCCAGGCCAGCAUCAGUUCGCGCCGGGGGAUAAAGGUUUCGGGAAUGUAGCUCCCUCGGGAGUGUUAUAGCCCGUUGCGCAAUACCCUGGCGUGGACUGAGGUCCGCGCUCUGCAAGGAUGCUGGCGUAAUGGUCAUCAGUGACCCGUCUUGAAACACGGACCAAGGAGUCGUCUUCGUAUGCGAGUGUUCGGGUGUCAAACCCCUACGCGUAAUGAAAGUGAACGUAGGAGAGAGCUUCGGCGCAUCUCCGACCGAUCCUGAUGUUCUCGGAUGGAUUUGAGUAAGAGCAUACGGGGCCGGACCCGAAAGAAGGUGAACUAUGCCUGUAUAGGGUGAAGCCAGAGGAAACUCUGGUGGAGGCUCGCAGCGGUUCUGACGUGCAAAUCGAUCGUCAAAUAUGGGCAUGGGGGCGAAAGACUAAUCGAACCUUCUAGUAGCUGGUUUCCGCCGAAGUUUCCCUCAGGAUAGCAGUGUUGAUCUCAGUUUUAUGAGGUAAAGCGAAUGAUUAGGGACCCGGGGGCGCUUUUUAGCCUUCAUCCAUUCUCAAACUUUAAAUAUGUAAGAAGCCCUUGUUGCUUAGUUGAACGUGGGCAUUCGAAUGUAUCAGCACUAGUGGGCCAUUUUUGGUAAGCAGAACUGGCGAUGCGGGAUGAACCGAACGCGAGGUUAAGGUGCCAGAGUAGACGCUCAUCAGACACCACAAAAGGUGUUAGUACAUUUUGACAUUUGGACGGUGGCCAUGGAAGUCGGAAUCCGCUAAGGACUGUGUAACAACUCACCAAACGAAUGUACUAGCCCUGAAAAUGGAUGGCGCUCAAGCGUCUCACCCAUACCUCGCCCUCAGGGUAGAAACGAUGCCCUGAGGAGUAGGCGGACG
rnacentral:rRNA from 1 species